rnacentral:rRNA from 1 species
GGUUAAGCGACUAAGCGUACACGGUGGAUGCCCUGGCAGUCAGAGGCGAUGAAGGACGUGCUAAUCUGCGAUAAGCGUCGGUAAGGUGAUAUGAACCGUUAUAACCGGCGAUUUCCGAAUGGGGAAACCCAGUGUGUUUCGACACACUAUCAUUAACUGAAUCCAUAGGUUAAUGAGGCGAACCGGGGGAACUGAAACAUCUAAGUACCCCGAGGAAAAGAAAUCAACCGAGAUUCCCCCAGUAGCGGCGAGCGAACGGGGAGCAGCCCAGAGCCUGAAUCAGUGUGUGUGUUAGUGGAAGCGUCUGGAAAGGCGUGCGAUACAGGGUGACAGCCCCGUACACAAAAAUGCACAUGCUGUGAGCUCGAUGAGUAGGGCGGGACACGUGGUAUCCUGUCUGAAUAUGGGGGGACCAUCCUCCAAGGCUAAAUACUCCUGACUGACCGAUAGUGAACCAGUACCGUGAGGGAAAGGCGAAAAGAACCCCGGCGAGGGGAGUGAAAAAGAACCUGAAACCGUGUACGUACAAGCAGUGGGAGCACGCUUAGGCGUGUGACUGCGUACCUUUUGUAUAAUGGGUCAGCGACUUAUAUUCUGUAGCAAGGUUAACCGAAUAGGGGAGCCGAAGGGAAACCGAGUCUUAACUGGGCGUUAAGUUGCAGGGUAUAGACCCGAAACCCGGUGAUCUAGCCAUGGGCAGGUUGAAGGUUGGGUAACACUAACUGGAGGACCGAACCGACUAAUGUUGAAAAAUUAGCGGAUGACUUGUGGCUGGGGGUGAAAGGCCAAUCAAACCGGGAGAUAGCUGGUUCUCCCCGAAAGCUAUUUAGGUAGCGCCUCGUGAAUUCAUCUCCGGGGGUAGAGCACUGUUUCGGCAAGGGGGUCAUCCCGACUUACCAACCCGAUGCAAACUGCGAAUACCGGAGAAUGUUAUCACGGGAGACACACGGCGGGUGCUAACGUCCGUCGUGAAGAGGGAAACAACCCAGACCGCCAGCUAAGGUCCCAAAGUCAUGGUUAAGUGGGAAACGAUGUGGGAAGGCCCAGACAGCCAGGAUGUUGGCUUAGAAGCAGCCAUCAUUUAAAGAAAGCGUAAUAGCUCACUGGUCGAGUCGGCCUGCGCGGAAGAUGUAACGGGGCUAAACCAUGCACCGAAGCUGCGGCAGCGACACUAUGUGUUGUUGGGUAGGGGAGCGUUCUGUAAGCCUGUGAAGGUGUGCUGUGAGGCAUGCUGGAGGUAUCAGAAGUGCGAAUGCUGACAUAAGUAACGAUAAAGCGGGUGAAAAGCCCGCUCGCCGGAAGACCAAGGGUUCCUGUCCAACGUUAAUCGGGGCAGGGUGAGUCGACCCCUAAGGCGAGGCCGAAAGGCGUAGUCGAUGGGAAACAGGUUAAUAUUCCUGUACUUGGUGUUACUGCGAAGGGGGGACGGAGAAGGCUAUGUUGGCCGGGCGACGGUUGUCCCGGUUUAAGCGUGUAGGCUGGUUUUCCAGGCAAAUCCGGAAAAUCAAGGCUGAGGCGUGAUGACGAGGCACUACGGUGCUGAAGCAACAAAUGCCCUGCUUCCAGGAAAAGCCUCUAAGCAUCAGGUAACAUCAAAUCGUACCCCAAACCGACACAGGUGGUCAGGUAGAGAAUACCAAGGCGCUUGAGAGAACUCGGGUGAAGGAACUAGGCAAAAUGGUGCCGUAACUUCGGGAGAAGGCACGCUGAUAUGUAGGUGAAGCGACUUGCUCGUGGAGCUGAAAUCAGUCGAAGAUACCAGCUGGCUGCAACUGUUUAUUAAAAACACAGCACUGUGCAAACACGAAAGUGGACGUAUACGGUGUGACGCCUGCCCGGUGCCGGAAGGUUAAUUGAUGGGGUUAGCCGCAAGGCGAAGCUCUUGAUCGAAGCCCCGGUAAACGGCGGCCGUAACUAUAACGGUCCUAAGGUAGCGAAAUUCCUUGUCGGGUAAGUUCCGACCUGCACGAAUGGCGUAAUGAUGGCCAGGCUGUCUCCACCCGAGACUCAGUGAAAUUGAACUCGCUGUGAAGAUGCAGUGUACCCGCGGCAAGACGGAAAGACCCCGUGAACCUUUACUAUAGCUUGACACUGAACAUUGAGCCUUGAUGUGUAGGAUAGGUGGGAGGCUUUGAAGUGUGGACGCCAGUCUGCAUGGAGCCGACCUUGAAAUACCACCCUUUAAUGUUUGAUGUUCUAACGUUGACCCGUAAUCCGGGUUGCGGACAGUGUCUGGUGGGUAGUUUGACUGGGGCGGUCUCCUCCUAAAGAGUAACGGAGGAGCACGAAGGUUGGCUAAUCCUGGUCGGACAUCAGGAGGUUAGUGCAAUGGCAUAAGCCAGCUUGACUGCGAGCGUGACGGCGCGAGCAGGUGCGAAAGCAGGUCAUAGUGAUCCGGUGGUUCUGAAUGGAAGGGCCAUCGCUCAACGGAUAAAAGGUACUCCGGGGAUAACAGGCUGAUACCGCCCAAGAGUUCAUAUCGACGGCGGUGUUUGGCACCUCGAUGUCGGCUCAUCACAUCCUGGGGCUGAAGUAGGUCCCAAGGGUAUGGCUGUUCGCCAUUUAAAGUGGUACGCGAGCUGGGUUUAGAACGUCGUGAGACAGUUCGGUCCCUAUCUGCCGUGGGCGCUGGAGAACUGAGGGGGGGCUGCUCCUAGUACGAGAGGACCGGAGUGGACGCAUCACUGGUGUUCGGGUUGUCAUGCCAAUGGCACUGCCCGGUAGCUAAAUGCGGAAGAGAUAAGUGCUGAAAGCAUCUAAGCACGAAACUUGCCCCGAGAUGAGUUCUCCCUGACUCCUUGAGAGUCCUGAAGGAACGUUGAAGACGACGACGUUGAUAGGCCGGGUGUGUAAGCGCAGCGAUGCGUUGAGCUAACCGGUACUAAUGAACCGUGAGGCUUAACCUU